rfam:Schistosoma mansoni, Puerto Rico, WGS project CABG01000000 data, contig: 0111
AUCCAGCUGACGAGUCCCAAAUGGGAUGAACGCGCGUCCUCGAU